CUCCCCAGCCGCCUCCCCAGCCCGGCGCGCCGCCGCCCUGCCCCGGGCGGAGUAAACACGAGCCGCGCAAGAUUUGACCUGGCGCGACCCGGAUUUCUGGCCGGGGUUCCCCCUGAGCAGGUGACUCCGUGGGAGGGGUGGAAAUGAGUCUCUGGAAUUCCGGGCCAAAGACAUGAACUGUGGUUCUGCUUUUAAAGCAACUAUUUCACCAACAACUGCAGGCUGUUUUGCGUCUCAAAUUUCAGAUUUCGCGGAAAGGGACCGAAUGUCAAGACAGAUCACAGACUCCCUUCCUUUUUCAUUAAAAACGAAUCCAUUAAAAGGGAGGGCAGCCCCUUUAAUGACCGCGAGAAGAGCGCGGCUUGGUUUCGGUUUUGUCUUGUUGUGUUUUUCAUUUCGACCUAGAAUCAGUGUAUUUCUGAAGUCCCCGUGCGAUGGCGACGCUGCCGGGAAGGGCGGCUCUGCAGAAUAAAGCAGCGGUACAUUUUCUUAUCGAUAUUUUUUUCAAAGGAGAAAAAUCGGAAUGAUUUGGAAUAUGUCACUGUGUCCUUUCAGGUUUCUCUCAUUUAAAUUCAGGGCCUACUUCCACUUAAGCGGCUUCUCCUUUCUUUGUAUAAGAUCUUUAAUAUUCAGCCUUUCUUGACUUAACUUGAAACACUUAGUAAAAACUCCCCCAAUCAUCAUUUUUCUCCUAAAUGUAUGCCGCUGCGUUUUUAAACAUCCAUUUAAAACGCAAAACGUGAUUUUCAAAAUGUUUUUUCACUUCCAAACCCACCUGCUACCUCCUCCCAGAGCCCAUUUUAUUUAAUUGCUUAAUAGAGAAGAUUAAGCAGUUUCUUUAAGAAUCCAAUUUCCCUUCGGCACACACAACAGCAGCUGCCCAGGCUCCCAGAAACUGAGCAAGGAAGGUGGCAGGCAGCCGUCUGCUUCACGAAGAUGAAUGUUAGUUGAAAUCUUAAAUGCCCCCGUUAAAAGACUACAUUAAGUGGUAUAAUGUGAACGUCAGGAUAUUCAGGUAAUUGAGCAGUUUAAAUAUUUUUUUUAAAAAAAGCAAGUAUACAUCAAUUUGGAUGGCGUUAGCCCACCACCAAAGAGACCCCCUAAAGACAGUCGUUAGUCAAACUUCAUUCUUAUUACCUUGUUUCAAAAUCAUCAAGCUCUAAAGAAGAUAGCCUGAACUGAGUUGAAGUAGAAGUAAAAAUGUUUGUGACUAUGUGCAAACUAGGUGAUGUCCCCUCUGCUGGAGAGAACCAUUGUCUUUAAAUGCCUCCCUGUCUCUGGCCCCUAAUGCUGCAGCGUGUUUCUUGGCGCUGCCAGAUGUGGGCCAGUGCGGGCUCCAGAGCAUAUGAACACCUGCCUGCCCUUCCGGAGCCUGACCUACUGGGGGCCAUUCAAAGCAGGAAAGGAAGCCUCUGCCUGUUGUUUUCCUAGUUUAGCAACUCCAGGGGGCAAAGACCUUCUUCUCACCGAGCUCAGGCAGCCUUGGUGGUAUCCUUGCGCCUCAACCGAUUGCUGGGCUGGGGUGGCGGGGCUCUCUGAGUGGUUGUACCUAGACCUGGAGUGGGGAGUGGGGGUGAUCCUCAUGGAAAGAGCAGCUCCCAAAGGAAAGACGGGGGGAGGGAGGUUUGUCCACUCUAUCCCCUAAGUUUUUGGCAUUGGUUUCUCUCUUUUUAAAAUCAGGGAGUUGGUCAAGAUGAUAUGCCUGAUUUCUUAUGGCUGUAAAUUCUAUAUAAAUCACUGUAAUAAAUCCCUCUGAAAAACUGUGCAAAAUGAAUUAACUGGCGUGCCAUUCCCUCAGAUAAAUUUAUACUGCUGUAAAUACAGCUUUGAAGGGGGUACCUGCUAUGGGGUUCUGAUGAGUAAACGGAACAGAGCCUUGGGUCUAAGGAAAGGGUGAUGGUGUGGAAGAGCCUGUCUGUGCAUCUCCCACUUCCUACUCAUCUGCUUUAAUUGGUAGAUGGAGGAAAUUAAGCACUCUCAUGAACUGUGUCGUGUGAAGAAUACUCAGGUCUCCAAAAAUUAUUUGAAGGAAAGAAUUUCGAGGGAAAACCUGCCUGUCUGUUGAAUUGUUAAUAGGAUACAAGCCAAACACUCUAAUGCAGACCAGUCUCUAUCCCACUGUCACCUCCUUUGGUUGCAGAGUGGAGGGCGGGGGCGGUAAUUAGGAUCAAUCAGCUGGAGCCAUACUUACUGUGACUCAGGUGACAUCUGCCAGGAUUGAAGGGUAAAGCGCUCAUCCUCCUGGCUUUCACAGUGUGUGCAGAGCUCACAGACAUCCAACCGACCACGUGUCCCCCACACGCCAGAGUUUCUCUAGGUGUAUUCCAAAGACCACCUGUAGCAACAUCUUUUGAAAUGCUUAUUUCAAAGUCUGGGCUGCCCCCUAAACUUACAAAAUCAGAAUCCCCGAGACUAGGGCCUGAGAAACUUCCUGGUGAAUGAGACCACCAUGAUUCCCAUUCUUACUAAAGCUUGAGGACUAUUGCUUUAGGCUUUGCCCUCAGAUUGAAUUGGGGCUGGCUCCCUGCCUGAGAACCCUCUUCUCCCCUCUUUAUCACAUUCCUCAGGUUUCACAUGAUCCCUUAUGACAACUUGGCCCUUUUUAUGCUUCAAAGAUAUCUUGUGGCUUCUGUUUUAACCAGGUUUCGUCUAUGCACAAAUAUCUUACGAAGGAAACGCCCCCGUGAAUGAACUGAUGGGGAUGGGAAGGCUUGGAGAAGGGGCAAGUGCAUGGUGGAGCACAGAAUUAGGACCGUGUGGCUUCCUUUCCCAUCAAACUCACGUUCUCUCAAACCUGCUGAUCUCAGAGAGUUGUCAACAGAAAAACCAACUAUUCAAGCCUAAAGUAAACCAGGAAGGUCGAAGUGUUCCAGGAACAUCGAACCACAUAGUCCCUCCAUCUGAGCACAGAACUAUGAAGGGAGUGAGAAAUGUACCUAGUGUUCUCAAGAGCUAAAAAUAAGGAGGGAGUAACUAAACUGCUUAUGUGAAAAAAAUCAUGAGGCCGGUAUCCAAAGAAGAGUCUCAAACUUUCUUCAACAUGGAUAGUCCACCUUUUGCUCCCACCGAAUUACUAAAACAAUUUACAAGUUGAUUCACGAAUUAACUUCUAACGGUCAUGUUUUAAAGCCUCACGUUAGUCCUGAUAUUACACCGUGUACACGCUCUCUUAUUGACCCUUGAACGUUGGCGUUCCCAGAGUUCUACCCAUGGUCUCCUAUCCUCACUCUUCUCCAGAGUUCUCAAAACGGACGCCCACAGACUGGGUACAGACCACAGAUGUCUACUGUUUGGGCUCGACAGGACUUCAGGCAAAUUUAAGAAACAGUAUUUAAAACCUGAAGUUUUCACUUAUUCAUUUGGAUUUUCCAGGUUCUUUUGAAAAAUGGGAAGAUCUGACAACACCAGACCAGCCUUUACGUCUAUCAAUAAUUACCUGCAACUAAACAGAGGUUGCUCCCUAGAGACCGGAUGUUUGCUCUCCUGUUGCUAUAGUCCUCACCACUCCCUACUGCCUUAAAUCCCUGGCCCACCCCCUUAAUUCAUUUACAUGAGUGAGCACUUGCAAAGGCUCCUCAUAUACCUACGCUGUGUAAUCCCAUCCUUACUUGUGGUUUCAGCUACCUUACCCUAAAUUUCUAACAGAGAACACGUUUUGGAACACUAUACGAUCUCUCGGUUCCCCUUAGAUUACUGUAGGUGCCUCACUCUCAACAUGUCCUAAACCAAACACAUUAUUUUUUCUCAUUAACCACCAAAUUUUCCCCUUCUGUAGUCCCUAUACAGUUAAUAGUGUCACCAUCUGUGAUGGUCAGUUUUACAUGUCAACUUGUCUAGGCUAUAGUAUCCAAUUAUUCAAAUAAACGCUAAUCUAGGUUUUGCUGAAAAGAUGUUUUGUAGGUGUGGUUGGUAUCUACCAUCAGUUGACCUUAAGUAAAGGAGCUUAUCUUUGCUAA